rnacentral:rRNA from 1 species
AGGUUUUAGACUUCCGUGGCUCAAGAAACGAACGCUGGCGGCAGGCUUAACACAUGCAAGUCGAACGCACCGCAAGGUGAGUGGCGCACGGGUGAGUAACGCGUGGGAAUGUACCCUUUAGUACGGAAUAGCUCCGGGAAACUGGAAUUAAUACCGUAUACGCCCUUCGGGGGGAAAGAUUUAUCGCUAAAGGAUCAGCCCGCGUGAGAUUAGGUAGUUGGUGGGGUAAUGGCCUACCAAGCCUACGAUCUCUAGCUGGUCUGAGAGGAUGAUCAGCCACACUGGAACUGAGACACGGUCCAGACUCCUACGGGAGGCAGCAGGUGGGGAAUAUUGGACAAGUGGGGAAACCCUGAUCCAGCCAUGCCGCGUGAAUGAUGAAGGCCUUAGGGUUGUAAAGUUUCUUUACCGAUGAAGAUAAUGACGGUAGUCGGAGAAAAAGCCCCGGCUAACUUCGUG